UCGUAUCUAUGAUAGAUUUACUUCUGAUUUUUUUCCCUUUUCCUUCUCUCCUAAGUCUCAUUCUCUUUCACGACAUCUACUGCUACCACGGUACCACCACCUCUGCCUCCGCCUCCUAGGAAGACAAAUGGUUUCAUUUCCAAUUUCGAAUCUCAAAAAUAUCUCUCUUUCUUCUUCCUCUCCUCACCCAUCACCACCACCACUGUUAUCUCUACCUUUUUCAGUUUGUUGAUACGUUUUGAGAAUUGAUUUCGGAGAUCGAUCAACGUCCUCUUUAAGAACAAUCGACAUGAAGAAUAAAUAGGUGCAUUUUGCGGGCAUCAUUUGAUUCAGUUGAAGCUAUUAAGUUUGGUAAUUACUCCAAUUAUUGGCUUGGUUACGUCGUGCUUUCUGGAAUUCAAUGGCACAUAAGAUAAAUAGCUACCCGGUUAAAAUUAUGGAGUUGCUGCAAUCAAUGCCUUUGCAUCGAAUUACAUGUGGCAGGUACUCAUUUGAUAACGCAUUUUUAUUGAGGUUGUAAUGUUCUAGUCCCCACCAUUUGAUGGUAUAACUGGAUUACAAGCUUGUUGUCUUGUAAAAUCCAUUGUGGAAGAUAGAUGGUGGCCAUACAUCAAAACCAAGAUACCAAAACCAAUUCAGGUCAUGGAAAUAAUUCAACUCAAUUUCUAUUAUGGAGUAAUUUUUUAUGAAUCACUUAACGGUGCUCGACUUAGUGGUUGCAGUAUCCGGUCACAGAGAACAACUUUAAGAUUCAAGAGUCACUUGUAGCAAAACUCUAAGGUUCUAAUAUUUGGGAUAAAUACUACCCACUAUGACGCGGUUGCUAAUUCUUUCGUUGGGAUAGUACUUUCUGCUGGACUGAAUUCAGGUUGGUUCCACAAUUCCCAACUUAUUGUUGCCAUUAACACAUUCUGAAUUGUUUUUGAGUUUUCCUUGAUACCAUAGACUGUCAUAGAAAGGACUUAUAUGGUACGGUAGUCAGCAGACUAGUUUUGUUAUAUGAGACACUUUGAGAGGUCAUUGAACUGACACCAGUAGUUAGUUCAGAUUGUUAGGCAACAAUUAUAGAAUUCCAUCACUUGAACUUGUAUUAAUUGUCGGACGCUCUUGCUUGUUGUCUUUUAACACAAUAAUUAGUUUAGGAAGAAAUGAAGAAUUUUGAAUGGACAGUUCCAGAUGAGAAAUGAGGAUCGCAGUCCACGUGAAAAUUGUUUGCUUAGUCAUAAUCUAUCUUCCAUGAAAAAGUUUGGCUUAUUCAUGUACACCAUAUUGUGGGAUCAACUUCAUUUCCAGAUAAUAGUUUCACAGGGGUUGUCAUAAAGCUUAUCACUCUGUGUGUGUUGGAAAGGAUCCUUCAUUUCCAGAAACGGGGGAGCCUUUGAUAUGUAGUAAGACACUCACCAUUUUGCUCACCUUUUUGUUUUUGGCCGUACAUGCAUGCACAUGUCCAUAUACAGAUAGGUAGAGUGUCUGUUACAGUGCAGUAAACAGAAGGUAGAGUGACUGUUAUACAAUGUUCUUACUGCAUGUUAAAUGCAUUUUAUCCCUGGUGCUUACCUAGA